GUUAAAUCCAAAAAAAACCGUACUAAGUCGGGUGCAGAACAGUAACCACUUGGGUUCUAAUCUUUCCGUGUGUAAUCUUCAUUAUUGCAUACUAUCGGCUCAACUGUAAUUUAUUAAUCAAACUAUUGCAGCGUCACCAUUCAAAGACAACUUUACGACUAAACAUAAAUAUUUAUGGAAUGCGUUUUGUACACUCAUACAUUGCAUAUAAGGGCUGAAAUUAUAGUUUCCAGAUCUAGCGAUAAGAUCUGUAUUCGCUCUGAGUGAAGCCAUGGUAGGGGAAAUCAAAUUGACUGAAGCGUUUGCAGUGGUUACUUUCGGAGUUACGGGAGGCUAUGAUUACUGAAAUUGUAAGCAAGCACACGUGAAAGUAUUUAUUUUGUUAUUAUUUAAUUAUUUAUUUUUCAUUUUGAUUUUUUCCUUAGUAUCAUAUUUUGACUUUGAUAUGAAUUUCAAACAACUUAACCUAAAUGCUUACUGCAAUCUUUUUUAUUUUUUAUCAUUAUACUUACUUAUUGAUGGUCCGUUUAGCUAAAAAACAAAACUGCAAUUACUAUAAAACUGUCACAUAUUUUUUACAACUUUUUUUUUUACUAUUAUUUAUAACAUUUAUUUAUUUUUAUGUUUCUUGCUAUUGACAUACGUAUAAAAACAUACUCUGACAGCCUCCCAUAGUUCAUAUUUUGUCUGGCGCUGCAGUCACACUCAUAGCGAAUAAACGAUUGCCGAAAAAACACAUCGACCAUCACAAUACCAUGUUUUCUAGAAAUUCCAGUUAUUUUCAUUUCCACAAAUUUUUAAUAUUUUACAUUUAGUUUACAAAUAACAGUCGAUUACAUUGACACGAUAUCUUCUGUUUAGUUGAAUCGAAAUCAAUACUUUUCAUUCAAAAUACGAAAAAAAAUUUCAUGUGAUUUUACCGCCAUCGAUUUAAAAAAUAAAAAAUAAAAUUUUCUUCUAUUAUUAUUUUUUAAGAAUAAAGACCAAAUAUCGAUAACUAAAAAUUUUAUAAUAAAAUAACGGGUCAAUGAGCUUAAAAAUUAUAUUACGUAGUAAAGCGAUCUCUUAAUUAAACCAUUUAAUUUUUUUUUAUAACUUUUUGGUGACGAAAUAUAAUUUUUUGAUAAAAAAAAAAAAAAAAAAAAAAAAAAAACGGUACGUUCUUCUUUUUUUUUAAUUUCCGGUAAUCCCACGGCCUCGGGAGAUGUAAUUAAAGUUAUUUUGAAUCUCUCUUAAGGUAUAAAAGUAAUCACCAUUAGAUAAAAUUUAUCAGUAAACCGGCAGCAGUUUAACGGAAGUGAGUUUCUGUAAAAAAUUUUUUUUCGCUAAUAUAAAAAAAAAAAAAUGUUUAAAGUAAAUUUCAUUAUUUUACUUGCAUUUGCCAUCAUUAUUUUGAUGAUUGACCACUUUGCUAUGGUUGAAAGUUGUUCUUCUUACGGCUCUACGUGCUAUGGGGUCGCUGACCAAUGUUGUUGGGGAUUGAAAUGCUCGUGGUGGUUUUCUGGCUCAUGCCAAGUCGACCCAGAUGUUAAACCAGUGGUCUAUUCAAUGCGAAACAUAUAAUUUAUCAAAAAAAAAAAUAAAAUAAAAUAAAAAAAAAUAAAUAUGUAUUUUUAUACGUAUUUCUGUUUAGGAAAUGAAAUUUCCUUUAAAAUGAGUACCAACAUGAUGUACUUUAAAUAAAAUUUUUUUCUGAUUAAUUUUAA